GACGAACGCUGGCGGCGUGCUUAACACAUGCAAGUCGAACGGAAAGGCCCUGCUUUUGUGGGGUGCUCGAGUGGCGAACGGGUGAGUAACACGUGAGUAACCUGCCCUUGACUUUGUGAUAACUUCAGGAAACUGGGGCUAAUACCGGAUAGGAGCUCAUGCUGCAUGGUGGGGGUUGGACAGUUUCGGCGGUUGGGGAUGGACUCGCGGCUUAUCAGCUUGUUGGUGGGGUAGUGGCUUACCAAGGCUUUGACGGGUAGCCGGCCUGAGAGGGUGACCGGCCACAUUGGGACUGAGAGACGGCCCAGACUGCUACGGGAGGCAGCAGUGGGGAAUAUUGCACAAUGGGCGGAAGCCUGAUGCAACAACGCCGCGUGCGGGAUGACGGCCUUCGGGUUGUAAACCGCUUUCGCCUGUGACGAAGCGUGAGUGACGGUAAUGGGUAAAGAAGCACCGGCUAACUACGUG
rnacentral:rRNA from 1 species